CGGGGUGUAGCGCAGUUGGUAGCGCACUACGUUCGGGACGUAGGGGCCGUGUGUUCGAGUCACAUCACCCCGA
rnacentral:tRNA from 1 species